CCCGCUGAACUUAAGCAUAUCAAUAAGCGGAGGAAAAGAAACUAACCAGGAUUCCCCUAGUAACGGCGAGUGAAGCGGGAAGAGCUCAAAUUUGUAAUCUGGCGGUCUUCAGGCCGUCCGAGUUGUAGUCUGGAGAAGCGUCUUCCGCGCCGGAGCGGUGAUCAAGUCUCUUGAAACAGGGCGUCAUAGAGGGUGAGAAUCCCGUCUUUGACACGGACAUCCGAGGCUCUGCGAUGCGCUCUCGAAGAGUCGAGUGUUUUGUGAAUGCAGCUCACAUCGGGUGGUAAAUUCCAUCUAUAGCUAUAUAUGGACGAGAGACCGAUAGCGAACACGUACCGUGAGAGAGAGAUGAAAAGCACUCUGAAGAGAGAGUUAAACACUACGUGAAAUUGUUGAAAGGGAAACGCUCGAAGUCAGUCUCGUCUUGCGAGACUCACAUUCGCGUUCGCGCGGAGGGCAUUUUUCGGGCUUAGCGGGUCAAGCUUAGUUUUCGCUCUUGGAACAAAGGAGGGGGAAAAGUGCCAUCCUUUGGGGGGUGUGUAAUAGCCCCUCUUCGGACGCGACGGGCAGGGAUCGAGGAUCGCAGCACGCCCCACCUUGGGGGCCGGGGUUCGCCCACGGUAACGUGCUUAGGACGCUGGCGUAAUGGCUUUGAGCGACCCGUCUUGAAACACGG
rnacentral:rRNA from 1 species